UCCCUGGUUGAUCCUGCCAGUAGUCAUAUGCUUGUCUCAAAGAUUAAGCCAUGCAUGUCUCAGUGCAAGCCGCAUUAAGGUGAAACCGCGAAAGGCUCAUUAAAUCAGUUGUGGUUCCUUAGAUCGUACCCAAGUUACUUGGAUAACUGUGGUAAUUCUAGAGCUAAUACAUGCCGAUAGAGUUCCGACCGUCGCGGCGCCCUCGGGCGUCGCUCGCGGGAGGAACGCUUUUAUUAGAUCAAAACCGGCCCGUCGCGGCGCGCUUCGUGCGCGUCCCGAUCGCGGCCCGCGCAAAGACCUGGUGACUCUGAAUAACUUCGAGCUGAUCGCACGGUCUCCGUACCGGCGACGCAUCUUUCAAAUGUCUGCCUUAUCAACUGUCGAUGGUAGGUUCCAUGCCUACCAUGGUGGUAACGGGUAACGGGGAAUCAGGGUUCGAUUCCGGAGAGGGAGCCUGAGAAACGGCUACCACAUCCAAGGAAGGCAGCAGGCGCGCAAAUUACCCACUCCCGGAACGGGGAGGUAGUGACGAAAAAUAACGAUACGGGACUCAUCCGAGGCCCCGUAAUCGGAAUGAGAACACUUUAAAACCUUUAAACGAGGAUCAAUUGGAGGGCAAGUCUGGUGCCAGCAGCCGCGGUAAUUCCAGCUCCAAUAGCGUAUAUUAAAGUUGUUGCGGUUAAAAAGCUCGUAGUCGGAUCUGUGUCUGGACGGUGCUGGACCACCCUGGCGGUCCGUCGUGUCGCGGCCGGCCGUGUCGCGGGACCACGUGUCCCGUCGGCGCGGUCGCCCGUCGCGCUCGUCAGCCGUCUCGGGGUGUUAGUUACCGGGCACGUCGGGCCGGGACGUAUUGUCGGCAGGCGGACACGUGUCUCGUGCUUUCCGGCGCGCCGCGCGGCCACGCGUCGCGCGGUCGUCGGUGUUCGACGAACUGGCGGCCGCCUACUCCAAUCUUGCUGCGCGGUGCUCUUCACCGAGUGCCGUCGGCGGGCCGACACGUUUACUUUGAACAAAUUAGAGUGCUCAAAGCAGGCUCGAAUCUGGCGGGGC
rfam:Acyrthosiphon pisum strain LSR1 Contig4611, whole genome shotgun sequence.